rnacentral:rRNA from 1 species
GACGAACGCUGGCGGCGUGCUUAACACAUGCAAGUCGAACGGUAAGGCCCUUCGGGGUACACGAGUGGCGAACGGGUGAGUAACACGUGGGUGAUCUGCCCUGCACUUCGGGAUAAGCCUGGGAAACUGGGUCUAAUACCGGAUAGGACUCCGGACUGCAUGGUCUGGGGUGGAAAGCUUUUGCGGUGUGGGAUGGGCCCGCGGCCGAUCAGCUCGUUGGUGGGGUGAUGGCCUACCAAGGCGACGACGGGGAGCCGGCCUGGGAGGGUGUCCGGCCACACUGGGACUGAGAUACGGCCCAGACUCCUACGGGAGGCAGCAGUGGGGAAUAUUGCACAAUGGGCGCAAGCCUGAUGCAGCGGCGCCGCGUGGGGGAUGACGGCCUUCGGGUUGUAAACCUCUUUCAGUAGGGACGAAGCGCAAGUGACGGUACCUACAGAAGAAGCACCGGCCAACUACGUGCCAGCAGCCGCGGUAA